GGACAGACUUAGACUGGGUGGCUAGUCCCCUCUUGUAACCGCAACCGGACUAUACGGCGGAGUCGAAGUCUGUGGAGAGGCAGUCGCCUUGCGUGACUGGUCUUGGUCUGGCCGAUGAUAUCCUGUCCCAUUGGGCCGAUGUUUUAUGGAAUUAGUCAGGUUCGGAAGAAAGCAGCUAUAACAUAUGAUGUUGGUGUCUUCGGGGUAGCGGGAUUGAGAAGAGUUCAAGGUAGCCAUCAUUCAGGACUGCUGUCCAUCUGCAGGCGUGUCUGUCC
rnacentral:SRP_RNA from 2 species